rnacentral:lncRNA from 1 species
UCUGAUAGGAAAUACGAGUGGUUGAUUAAAAGAGGGUAAAAUAAUUUCUUAAAUUCCAGGUAUGUGUGCCAACAUAGGAGAUGUCUUGGCUAAGAAAGUGGAGAAGUGACAUUCACAGAGAAGACGUCAUGGAAGAGAAAGGCAAACAAAGACAGAGGCUCCUCCUUGAAAGAAUGAUAGAGGAAAAAAGAAACGUGAGAUGAAGAGACAGUGCCCACUCUCAGAGUCAUAAUCCAUUUGUGCAUGUUUGGGAGAAAGACAGAGAAAGAAACUUCCAAAUGCAUUACUGUAUGGUAAGUAGCAGGAGUGGAGAGGGUGAAACACACUGGAACAGCCCCUACCUGACCCUUGGUCAGUAAAGAAAGACUUAUUCAAAGAGAGUUGAGUUUUGUAGGGCUUCUCUAUGAGAAAAGGGAAAAACACAGCCUGUGGAAAGCCAGAAGAAGCAAGAAAACAAGGCUUUUCUG